UGUUGGUAUCUUAGUGGCGGACGGGGUGAGUAACGCGUGGGUAACCUGCCUUACACUGGGGGAUAACACUUAGAAAUAGGUGCUAAUACCGCAUAACAGGGAAAGAUGCAUGUCUUUUCCUUAAAAACUCCGGUGGUGUAAGAUGGACCCGCGUCUGAUUAGCUUGUUGGCGGGGUAACGGCCCACCAAGGCGACGAUCAGUAGCCGGCCUGAGAGGGUGAACGGCCACAUUGGGACUGAGACACGGCCCAAACUCCUACGGGAGGCAGCAG
rnacentral:rRNA from 1 species